rnacentral:lncRNA from 1 species
GAUAAGCAUGAUGUUAGCCUAGGUUCUGUAAAUUGUUUUCUACACCUGCUUAUUUAGACUGCCAUUUUGAAUGAAACGGAGAAUAAGAAUUCAUAAGUGAACUUCUUGUACUCAAGAUCUUGGGUGUGAUAAGCUUGCUCUUGAUGUAUGCUUGGUUAGCCAAUGGUUUAUUCCUGUAAGCUAUUGUAAUUAUUGAAUAAUUUUUUUCAUAACUAAAAUAUGUUACCAGAAAGAUAUCAUGAUAAGCUAACUUUGUCUUUUUUACCCCCCCAAAAAAAAAGUUGACUUUAUCUUUGCUUGAAGUCACAAAAAGGGGUUAUAUAAGCAAGGACUAUGCUGGCAAUAUGUAUGUUGAAAACAUCAAGAAAUGCUCUCAUAAAGUUUAACCAUGAACUAUAGAUAGCUUAGUGAAAUUCUGGUUUGGGAAAGAUAUCUAGCUGUGAUGAUUACAAGUUACUUUUUCUUAAGUUAACACAUUGCAGGUCUAGUUUUUAUAUGAACAGUUCUCCAGAGGAGCAUUUAGAACUUCAACCCAGACCUAGAAUUUGGUUGUAGAACCUUUUUUUCUAAAAGUAAAAGUAAGAGAUGGAAGUUCUGAGUAAGAUUAGCUGUAGGUAACCGAACCAAAACAAAGUUAUAUUUCCACAAUUUCUACACCAUUUAUGUCUUAAUUUUUGAAAUUUUAAGUGUUUUUACAUAUUCUUGAGUAAUUAGUGAUGGAAAUUUACUUUGAAUAUGAGUCGGAUGAAUGACCAAUUGAUUUGCAAUAUAUGACUGUGAUUACUUUGUUGCUAUGCAGAAUAUUGAUGGAAUGUCUACUGCAUGUUUGUAAUGUUGUGUUUGUAUUUGCUUAACAAAAAAUGAUGGUGUUGGUAUUUUUUAAAUCUUACAAACAUUAGCCAGUUUCACUUUUGUGAACCUCCACAACGUCUAUAAUGGUAUAGGUGCUUGGGAAACUUGCACAUAGUUUUUGGUUAUAUUUCAACAGACAAAGGUACGAAAACUAUAAAGAGCUUCUGGUCUGACAUAAUAUGUUUAGACUUAUUCAGGCUUGUGUAUUAAAUGCUUUUUUUUUAUUGAACCGAUGAAUUGGGUGCCUUCAGUUCUUGAGAAGGUUACUUGGUUCGAACUUGGGACAUUGCAGCUGUCUUUAGAAAUAUUUUGUUAUGGAUUCCUCAGAUAUAAGUUUUUGAGGAUAUUCCUUAGGAAUCAAGUCGUCAAAGGAAUUACUAUAUUGUCAAGAAGAUUGUAGUGUUCUUAAACCUACAUGGUAUCAGAUUUGCUCUUAGAGAUACUGCAUAGCAAGGAGAGUUUGAAGGAAAAAAAUAAAACUUAGGGGUUGUGAGGAGUCUGCUUUUCUUUCUUUAAUCUUUGAGAAGAGAAUGGAGAUACUUAAUGAGGUCUAAGUUGCAGAAUUUAAUGGAUUAUCUGGGUGAGUUAGGACCCAAUUCAUUUGACAUUUGGCAUUGUUGAUAUCUUGGUUAAACAAAUCUAUUCAGUUUGCAAUUGAAGUGAUGAAUGGCUUGUCUUAGGAGGUAACUGAUUUGGAUUAUGUGCCUGAGAGUUAGAGAUAUCUGCAUUUUCCUUUUACUGCUUGUUCAGACAUUGUUUCAAUUGUUAAAUGUCUUUUUAUGCUCAAUUUUCAGUAUUUGAGGGCAAAGAAAAAAAUAAAUAGCAAAAUAUCUAUUGGUAAAAGUGCACUUGGAAUAUAGAUGUAUCAUGUCAUUUUUUUAACCAUUAUAAUGUCGUCAUUUGGUAGCAUUACUCAGAAAUGUUCCUAUAAAUUUGAUAAAAGGCAUACAUGAAAAACAUGAACAAUAUUGAAAGUGGAAGAAGGAAAUAAAUGUUUUUAAAAAAUAAUGGUGAAGCAAAGCAGAAGUAGAAUUACUGAAGAUACAUACUCCAUAGCUGUUUCAUCCUACCUUACUAGUCAUGCUACCCUUGCAGUGCUGUUGUAGCUCAUCUACCGCUUUGAACUGUCUUAGUGCAUUAUAUGUUCCCUUAAAGUCGUAGAGUCUUAUUAUUGUUGGUAUUGCUGUUUCUCUCUUAGCGCAUUGAUUGUGUUAUUUAUCUUGAACUCCAAACAAGAAUAUUUUCUAUGGAACUAUUAUCUGUUUAACUUAAUUAGUAAAAAAAUAGACAGUUUUCUGGAUUAUUGAGAUUUCAGUGCUGCAUGGAACAGCUGAGGAGC